GGCGGGCCUCCCCGCAUGGCGUAGCGGCCAACCUGGUCAGGUCCGGAAGGAAGCAGCCACAACCGUGAAGU
rnacentral:SRP_RNA from 1 species